GAAUUUACAAAUUUCCAACAGUUCCGAAUGCUAGUUUCUUGUUGUAUCGUUGGGUAGUAUCGUGAAUUUGGUAGCAUUCAAAGCAAAUUCACACACGGUAGUAAGAAUACAAAAACAAAAAUCCUAUGUAAUUUGUUUAUGUAAUCCUACGUGUAGUUUCAAAAAGUCAACAACGAAAAUCGUUCAUAUUUAUUUUGUUUGUGUAAAAGAACGUUCGAAAUGCCAAAGCCUAUUUCUCAUAUAUUUUGUUUGUGUAAUUUUUUGGAAUGAAAGGAAGAACAAGCAACUUCACCUUCUGUAAAUUCGCCUUGGCAGCAUUCGAAUGAAAUGCUAUUAUAGAAUAAUGUAGUAGCAUUUACUCGAAUUCGAACGUAGUAGGUGCCCAGGUUCCUCAAGAAAAAAUAAUCGAAAUUUUUCCCAUUAGAUUGCUGGAAAAGAGUACUUUCUAUAAUAAGAAAUAAUAUGGAAUUACUCCCGAAGGUGCGCAAGAUCAAGAAAUGAUUCGUUUUACAGUUAUCGUGUCACUCACCAACACAAGGGACGUGUUUCAGCAACAAUUUCAAGAGCCGCUAUUCAAA